GUGACAGCCGCCGCGGUAAUACAGAGGGUGCAAACGUUGCUCGGAAUUAUUGGGCGUAAAGCGCGCGUAGGUGGUCUGAUAAGUCGGGUGUGAAAGCCCUCGGCUUAACCGAGGAAGUGCAUUCGAAACUGUCAGACUUGAGUACUGAAGAGGAUCGCGGAAUUCCCGGUGUAGAGGUGAAAUUCGUAGAUAUCGGGAGGAACACCAGUGGCGAAGGCGGCGAUCUGGGCAGAUACUGACACUGAGGCGCGAAAGCGUGGGGAGCAAACAGGAUUAGAUACCCUGGUAGUCC
rnacentral:rRNA from 1 species